rnacentral:rRNA from 1 species
GAUGAACGCUGGCGGCGUGCUUCCCUCAUGCAAGUCGAACGAAGCAUUUGCAACAGAUUUCUUCGGAUUGAAGUUGCUUAUGACUGAGUGGCGGACGGGCGAGUAACGCGUGGGUAACCUGCCUCAUACAGGGGGAUAGCAGCUGGAAACGGCUGGUAAUACCGCAUAAGCGCACAGUACCACAUGGUACAGUGUGAAAAACUCCGGUGGUAUGAGAUGGACCCGCGUCUGAUUAGCCAGUUGGUGGGGUAACGGCCUACCAAAGCGACGAUCAGUAGCCGACCUGAGAGGGUGACCGGCCACAUUGGGACUGAGACACGGCCCAAACUCCUACGGGAGGCAGCAGUGGGGAAUAUUGCACAAUGGGGGAAACCCUGAUGCAGCGACGCCGCGUGAGCGAAGAAGUAUUUCGGUAUGUAAAGCUCUAUCAGCAGGGAAGAAGAAAUGACGGUACCUGACUAAGAAGCACCGGCUAAAUACGUG